UCGCGUCCAGCUUGGCUGGCGGCGUCCCGUGCUUGGCACAGUCGUGGCGGUGCUUUGUUACUUCACAUGCCAUCGGGCGUCUUGUUGAGCAUUGGUGUCGCCAAUUGCAGGUGAAGGCGUGUGAGUGGCAUUGGGUUCAUGUGGUUGUGCAGGCUCCCUGUUCUUUGCAGCGAACUGUGCAGCUCUGAUCCUCAUCAUUAGUGUUGCCUCCGCUGACUGUUUUGUGCGGAGACACAGAGAUGGUUCCUGUAUUGCUUACCGAAUUUGAUGGAAUUGUGUCCCUAGAUAUGUCCACUCCGUUUGUUGCACCGUUGGUGUGAGACGGCAUUAAAGCGCUUCCCUAUUGUCCACCCAUGGCCUGCUUUGGCUUGUUCAUGCGGUGGGCAUGGGGUUGGCAGCUAGUUUUCUUGGGUUCGGAACGAUAUGCAGGUGUCGGGCUUUGUCCCUCGUAUGCCUGAUAAGUAUGCAAAUGCAAAUGACCGUCGCUCUCGACUUGGCUUCUCAACAGAAGUUGGGGAUGCCCUUGCGAUGACGACGUCGUUGAGGAAUGC
rnacentral:misc_RNA from 1 species